GGAGAACAGUCCCUCCUUCUAGGAGCAACACAGACCCUCGGAGGGCUUCCCCUCUGCGGCUCCAAGCGCCGCUGUGUGUUCCGGUUCUUGUCGUCUGCACGGCAGCCCUGCCUCCUGGUUUCACAGAUGCAGACACUGGAGGCAAAGGGAAGCGAAGGGGCUUUCCCAGGUCCCAUGCCCCGUGAGCGUCGGAGUCGGGAUUGGAACCCAGGUCAUCGGGCCGACGAGAACGGCCUCCAGCUGGCUCAGGGCUUCCCCAGCUCCCUGCUGGGCACACAGCGCCCCCCUCGGUUAGCCCUUAGUCCUGCCGGGGUAGUUCCACGCUGAGCACAAGUGGGAGGGAGCCGUCCUGAUACACGCACGGUAUUUACCAGGUUCGCGGGGUGGGGUUGCGGAGUCGGUGCGCCCCACGCAGACUCUCAGAACAUCUUGCAGAAAAGAACAGGAGAGCCGGAUCUAGUUCCCAUCUCUGCUCUCUGCAGCCGGCCCCAGGAGAGGUUUAAGAGACAGCCCAGAGUGGACAUCUGGGAAGGGCGCCCGGUCGGCAGGAGCAGGCCCGGAGCUCUGCUGAGUCAGCGUGGGAGCGGUGAGGCUCUGGGCCCACCUCCUACCCGCACCUCCCAGCCUGCCUGUGCCCUCCGCCGCCAGCUGCCCAAAUGCUCUGUAACUUCCGGUGGAGACACCUGCAAGAGGUCUCUCUGGAUCAUGGGCCAGGGGAUGGGACCCACCCGGGCUCUGUCUCUUACAAACCAUGUGAACUUGAGCGUGUGGUUUGAGCCCUAUGGAACCUCAGUUUCCACAUCUACAAAAUGGGAAUGCUGCGGUGGCUAAAGGAGGCACUUGAAGGAAAGCCACACAGUUAACUCAAAUGUCCCUCCAUGGGUGAAUGAAUAAAUAAAAUGCGGUCUGUCC
rnacentral:lncRNA from 1 species